rnacentral:lncRNA from 13 species
UGAGCAGGCAGAAGCCUGAGCUCUGAGCAGUGCACUGAAAUGUAGCCUAAAAUGAGCAACCCGAAAUGUGAGGGACGCGGAGAAGAGACGGCGGAUGCAUUGUUCCAUCAUUUUGUCUUUCUUUACUUCAAAAGUCUGCAUUUCUGUGGACCAAGCCAAUGACGUCUCUCUCUGAUUUUUAAAAGUAGCAAAACACUUUGGGAGGACUGAGUCCAACAGCAGCCUGGGCAAAAUGGUGAGACCUCACCUCUAUUUUUUAAAAAAGUAGCAAUAAGUAAAAUGAAAUAUUUAAGAACAAAGGAAACUCAGAGGUAUUUAUCAUGUAUUUAACAUUGAUUGAAAGUCAGGAUGUAUUUUUAACUAGCAGAUAAAUUGAUCUUUUAAUACAUUUCAAUUAAAAAUGUGACAUGAUUCCAUUUAUUUAAAUUGCUUUUCUUGUAAGUGCAAGU